GUGAAGUGAAGUAGAAUGUCCACGAGGACCCCAUUGCCAACGGUGAAUGAAUGAGACACCGAGAACCACACGUCACACGGAGAUGGGCGGCAAGAAGUUAUCUCUCGCACCGGGCGCUCAGGAGCUCGUUGUAGAAACUCUAUAGCUUCCUGUGCAGACGAACAGCCUCACAUCUGAAACUACAGACUGUUGAAAACAAUUGGCAAAGGGAAUUUUGCAAAAGUGAAAUUGGCAAGACACAUCCUUACAGGCAGAGAGGUUGCAAUAAAAAUAAUUGACAAAACGCAGUUGAAUCCAACAAGUCUCCAAAAGCUCUUCAGAGAAGUAAGAAUAAUGAAGAUUUUAAAUCAUCCAAACAUAGUGAAGUUAUUUGAAGUCAUUGAAACUGACAAAACACUCCACCUAAUCAUGGAGUAUGCAAGUGGAGGUGAAGUGUUUGACUAUUUGGUUGCACAUGGAAGAAUGAAGGAAAAAGAAGCAAGAGCUAAAUUUAGACAGAUAGUGUCUGCGGUCCAGUACUGCCACCAGAAGCGGAUUGUUCACAGAGAUCUCAAGGCUGAAAAUCUAUUGUUAGAUGCUGAUAUGAACAUUAAAAUAGCUGACUUUGGUUUUAGCAAUGAAUUUAUUGUUGGCAGUAAACUGGACACGUUUUGUGGCAGUCCUCCAUAUGCAGCCCCAGAACUCUUCCAGGGCAAGAAAUACCACGGGCCCGAAGUGGACGUGUGGAGCCUUGGUGUCUUUCUUUACACCCUCGUCAGCGGGUCGCUCCCCUUUGAUGGACAGAACCUAAAGGAACUGAGAGAGAGAGUAUUAAGAGGGAAAUACAGAAUCCCUUUCUACAUGUCCACAGACUGUGAAAACCUUCUCAAAUGUUUCCUGGUGCUAAGUCCAAUCAAACGAGGCACUCCAGAGCAAAUCAUGAAGGACCGGUGGAUCAAUGCCGGCCAUGAGGAGGACGAGCUCAAGCCAUUUGUUGAGCCAGAACUAGACAUCUCAGAUCAGAAGAGGAUAGAUAUUAUGGUGGGAAUGGGAUAUUCACAAGAAGAAAUCCAAGAAUCUCUGAGUAAAAUGAAAUAUGAUGAAAUCACAGCUACAUAUUUGUUGUUGAGGAGAAAAUCUUCAGAGCUGGAUGCUAGUGACUCCAGUUCUAGCAGCAAUCUUUCACUUGCUAAGGUUAGGCCAAGCAGUGACCUCAACAACAGCACUGGCCAGUCUCCGCACCACAAAGUGCAGAGAAGUGUUUCCUCAAGCCAGAAGCAGCGGCGUUACAGUGACCAUGCUGGGCCGGCGGUUCCUUCAGUUGUGGCAUAUCCGAAAAGGAGUCAGACCAGCACUGCAGAUGGUGACCUCAAAAAAGAUGGAAUUCCCUCCCGGAAGUCAAGUGGCAGUGCUGUUUGGAGGAAAGGGAAUUGCUCCAGCCAGUCCCAUGCUCGGGAAUGCAAGCAACCCCAACAAGGCGGAUAUUCCUGAACGCAAGAAGAGCUCCGCUGUCCCAAGUAGUAAUACAGCAUCUGGCGGAAUGACUCGGCGGAAUACUUAUGUUUGCAGUGAAAGAGCUACAACGGAUAGAGACUCAGUAAUUCCAAAUGGCAGAGAGAACAGCACUAUUCCUGAUCAGAGAACCCCAGUUGCUUCCACACACAGUAUUAGCAGUGCAACCACCCCGGAUCGAAUCUGCUUCCCCAGAGGCACUGCCACUCGUAGCACUUUCCAUGGCCAGCCCCGGGAGCGGCGGACCACCACCUACAAUGGCCUGCCCGCCUCGCCCAGCCUGUCCCACGAAGCCACGCCACUGUCACAGACCCGAAGCCGAGGCUCCACUAAUCUUUUCAGUAAAUUAACCUCAAAACUCACCAGGAGGCUUCCAACUGAAUAUGAGAGGAACGGGAGAUAUGAGGGCUGAAGUCGCGACGUGUCUGCUGAGCAAAAGGAUGACAGCAAAUAAGCAAAGCCUCGUUCCCUGCGCGUUACCUGGAGCAUGAAAACCACUAGUUCCAUGGACCCCGGUGACAUGAUGCGGGAAAUCCGCAAAGUGCUGGACGCCAAUAACUGCGACUAUGAGCAGAGAGAGCACUUCCUCCUCUUCUGUGUCCACGGCGAUGGGCACGCAGAGAACCUCGUGCAGUGGGAGAUGGAGGUGUGCAAGCGGCCAAGACUCGCUGAAUGGGGUCCGGUUCAAGCGGCUCUCAGGGACAUCCAUAGCUUUCAAAAAUAUUGCUUCCAAAAUUGCCAAUGAGCUAAAGCUGUAACCCAGUAAUUAUGGUGUAAAUUAAGUAGCCAUUUUCCUGAACACUGAUGGAAAUGUAUAGAAUAAUAUUUAGGCAAUAACAUCUGCAUCUUCUAAAUCAUGAUAUUAAACUAAGGAGAGCACGCCUGGGAGCGAAAGCUGGCCUUUUUUCUACCAAUGCACUACAUUAAAGAUGUGUG